GCCUGGCUGACUCAGUCGGUAGAGCGUGUGACUCUUGAUCUCAAGGUCGUGAGUGCAAGCCUCAUGUUGGAUG
rnacentral:tRNA from 1 species